rnacentral:rRNA from 1 species
UUGGAGGGCAAGUCUGGUGCCAGCAGCCGCGGUAAUUCCUGCUCCAAUAACGUAUAUUAAAGUUGUUGCAGUUAAAAAGCUCGUAGUUGAAUUUUGGAUUCGGCCAAUUGGUCCAUCUUUUAGAUGAGUACUGGUUGUGUUGGGUCUAUCCGCCUGGUGAUACGUAAUGUCCUUUAUUGGAUGUUGCGGGUAGUCAGGACCUUUACCUUGAAAAAAUUAGAGUGUUUAAAGCAGGCUUAUGCCGGAAUACAUUAGCAUGGAAUAAUAGAAUAGGACGAAGUUGUUUUAUUUUGUUGGUUUCUAGGACAACCGUAAUGAUUAAUAGGGAUAGUUGGGGGCAUUAGUAUUCAAUUGUCAGAGGUGAAAUUCUUGGAUUUAUUGAAGACUAACUACUGCGAAAGCAUUUGCCAAGGAUGUUUUCAUUAAUCAAGAACGAAGGUUAGGGGAUCGAAGACGAUCAGAUACCGUCGUAGUCUUAACCAUAAACUAUGCCGACUAGGGAUCGGGCGAUGUUGUUUCCAUGACUCGCUCGGCACCUUAUGGGAAACCAAAGUGUUUGGGUUC